AUGAUGAGGGUAUUGGGCUGGGAGCCACGGCGUCUCCUGCAGCAAGAGGAGGAUGGGGAGGACUGGACCCAGGAGCCGUCCCUGUAUGAGGAGUACAGGCCUCCCGCCCUGGACACCAUCCGCCUGCCCAAAUACGUUCUGUACUUGCUGCUGGCUGCGCUGAUCGUUCUGGCUGUGGCUUAUGCUAUCGUGGGCCACCUGAUCAAGGACCUCAUGCAUGAUCUGGCUGACUGGGCUUUCGGCCCGAAGCCAGACCAGUUGGACGCCCCUCCAGAGCCGGUGUUGAGAAAAAGCCUUGGGGGUGAGGACCUGGAGGAGAUGGAGCUGGUGCUGGAACUGGACUGGAGAGAAGAGACGAUGACCAGUGGAGGAGCUGACCCAGGUGGUGAAGCCAUCUCCCGCAGCCUGGACUCCAGCUGCCAGCUCGGGCCCCUACCCUGGCUCUCUCACCCUUUGCCCCCAUUGCCCAUCUAGCCCCUUCAAGGACCCUGCUGGCACUUGUCGGGGUAGUACCAGGAGAGAGCCCACGCGGAGCCAGUGUGUCAACCACAACCUUGCCCCCAGGCCCCAAAAGCUGGACUGGGACGGCCCUUCCCUCUAAAACCUGCCUGUUCUCAGUUCCCCCCUCCCCUCACCUGCCUGUGCCCAGAGGUGGCAAUCCCUCCCCGGGCUGAAGUCCAGCUGCCCCCUGGCCUGGCUAGAGCCGGCCUUUGGGGCCCCGGGAGAUUCUUGCUUUGGGCUUCUGAGCGGGGCUGGUGCCACACGAUGGGGGACCAGAAGGGAUGCAAAUGUACAAAAAGUAGAUGUCUUGACUGCCGGAAGUCGUCGGUACCUUGACCAAGCUGUCCGUCACGUUCAGGGCACAUUUUCUGCUGGAUCCCUACCGCUUGCUCGGUUUGGUGGCCCCUGCUCUAUCCUCAGGAGCCUGACUGGCUGCCGCCCUGGGCUUAUGGCCCCCGGGAUUCAAAGAUUAAGCAAGGCCUUCAGCUGUGGAAGGCCCAGUGGUGUUUUUCUUGUGGCUGGCCAGGGCAGAUCCACCUUCACCCAUGGAGUGGCUCCUAUCCAAUCUGCAGUCCCAUUCCAAUCCCUGGAGGACCUCUCCCUCUACCCACCCCGUAAGAGUUUCUGCCCCAGGCCCAGUCCAUCUGUGCCACGCAUUAGCGAUGUUCAGUGCUGAUUCUCCAACAGGCUCUCCCUCAGACUGCUCCUUCAGAGCCUGGGACCCCUGGAUGACAGGGUUUGGGGCCGCUAGAGGGGUCAACAGUCCCAGGAAGCUUGGGAGAGCCCAAUCCUGACCCCAAUCCCCACUACCCCUCUGCAGCCAAACCCUUUCCCAGCUCUGGCUUGGCCCAAACAGGGCCCUUCUUUGGUCUUGGCCCCUGCCCCGCCUUUCCAUACAAGUAGCCUCAUCCAGUUCUAGCUGCACCCAUUCCUUCACUUACCCUUGCACCUAGGACCCAAUCAACAAGUAAUGAUGCCGUAACUGCAGUUAACAGCAUUAUUGAGGAUAUACAGCACUGUACUCGGGGGUUUAUAAAAGUACAUUAGAAGUCCAAGAGGCGAUCCCUGCUCUUGAGGAGUGUACACAAUAACGGGAGCAUUUAUUGAUCGCUUAGCGUACGACGUGCCGGAGAGUGAUAUAAGUCCUUGGCCCCUAGAGGGCUCGCCACCUUUGUCUGGCACACAGACACCAAGGAAAAAGAUAAUAGGGUAAAUUCAAAAAAAGGCACCGUAAAAUGAUAAUCCUGCAGCACCUCACUUUCCAACCUUGGCUCCCACGGUUUCGGGCGGCCUCGUUCUUUAGCCUCUCUCCUCCCCUGCCCCCCCAUCCCCCUUCCCCCCACCACAGAGUCCCAUUGGAGGGGAGCAGCCUAGGGGCUGUGAAAUACCAGGUUUCAGAUGCAGUAGCUCAGAAUGCAACACUCCAAUGUCACCUCCUCUAGGCCUCCGCCCAAUCCCACCCACCCACAUAAACCGUAGCCCCUGGUACUCAUGCCCUUGAAGAUCGCUAGCAGUGCUAUACCCUAUUUGGGGCUGAAGCUUCAAAAAAUUCAGAAUCAAUAAAGGCAUUUAAUGCCGUCUCCCUUGUGGUACUCAUUGGGAUGUCCAGAGAGGGAGAGGGGUGCAGGAUGGUGGGGGGACGUGUGUGUGUGGAGGGGGGUGGAAAGGUGGGCAGAGGGAGAAUAGAGAGAGCUCACCUCCUCCAAGAUGCCUUCCCAGACUGAGCCCCCCUUUCCCUCUGCUCCCCCUCUCCCCCACCCUCUGCUCCUCCCCCUUCCCCUCCCCUCAGCACUGUGCUUACUUGUAUAUAUUAUUCGUUACCCUAUUUAUUUUGUUAAUGAGGUGUACAUCCCCUUGAUUCUAUUUAUCUUGAUGAUGUCUUGUUUUUGUUUUGUUCUGUUUUGCUCUGCUGUCUGUCUCCCCCGUUUUGACUGUGAGCCUGUCACUGGGCAGGGACUAUGUCUAUCUGAUGCUGAAUUGUACAUUCCAAGCGCUUAGUACAGUGCUCUGCACAUAGUAAGAGCUCAAUAAAUACUAUUGAAUGAAUGGACAGCUACAGGGGGUAACUCCAAUACCUGGAUCCCUUUAGUCCCCUGAACUCAACUCUCAAAGGCUGCCGGGGGAUAGAGGCUGAAGUUGGAGAUGCAGUGCUUCAUUGUCAGUAAUCCUAAUAAUAAUAAUCAUAAUACAGUGCCAAGCACUGUACUGAAUGCCAGGGUAGAUACAGGAUAAUCAUGUUGGACGUAGUCCCUGUCUAAUAUGGGGUACCCAGUCUAAGGGGGUGGGAAUACAGGUAUUUCAUUCCCAGUUUACAGAUGAGGCAACCGAGGCACAGAAAAAGGUAAGUGAAUCAAUCACCUUGCCCCCUCCUACCUCACCUUGCUACUCUCCCUACUCCAACCCAGCCUGCACACUUUGCUCCUCUAAUGCCAACCUUCUCACCAGACCUCAAUCUCGUCUAUCUCGCCACCAACCUCUCGCCCUGGCCUGUUUCUGGCCUGGAACGCCUUCCCUCUUCAUAUCCCACAGACGAUUACUCUCCCCACCUUCAAAGCCUUAUUAAAGGCACAUCUGCAAGAGGCCUUUCCCGACUAAGCUGUCCUU
rnacentral:lncRNA from 1 species